rnacentral:rRNA from 1 species
CCUACGGGCGGCUGCAAUGGGGAAUAUUGCACAAUGGGCGCAAGCCUGAUGCAGCCAUGCCGCGUGUGUGAAGAAGGCCUUCGGGUUGUAAAGCACUUUCAGCGGGGAGGAAGGCGUUAAGGUUAAUAACCUUGGCGAUUGACGUUACCCGCAGAAGAAGCACCGGCUAACUCCGUGCCAGCAGCCGCGGUAAUACGGAGGGUGCAAGCGUUAAUCGGAAUUACUGGGCGUAAAGCGCACGCAGGCGGUCUGUCAAGUCGGAUGUGAAAUCCCCGGGCUCAACCUGGGAACUGCAUUCGAAACUGGCAGGCUAGGGUCUUGUAGAGGGGGGUAGAAUUCCAGGUGUAGCGGUGAAAUGCGUAGAGAUCUGGAGGAAUACCGGUGGCGAAGGCGGCCCCCUGGACAAAGACUGACGCUCAGGUGCGAAAGCGUGGGGAGCAAACAGGAUUAGAUACCCCUGUAGUC